UUUUAGAGGCCUAAUACUCUGACGCAUUUUUUUUGUAUGUACGAGGAGAUGUGCCUGUAAAUGGCCAUUAAAUUAUACUAUAGGCACCUAUUGAGUUUCAGGCAGUCUUAAAAUUAUUGGGCAAGAAAGGCAAAAUAAAAGUACUACGACACCCUGCAGCCCCUUGCAACUCCGCUUUAUUAGUACUCUUGUUGCUCAUCAAGACGGUAGUUUAUUUUAUGGCUGGUAGAGCGUAAUUACUGGUAAUGCUUGUUAAUAUUGUUGUUCCGUAAUGCUUGACACCGAGCAGUGUGUAGUCAGUGGAGAAAAACGAUACCGUUCGUGUUGCCCGCGAGAAAGUAUGAAAAUGAAGGAGUUUCAACAGAAGAAUAGAUAAAAAAAACGAAGGUAGGAGAUGACAAAUCGAAUUUAUACGUAACCAUUGUCUAAAGGCGAAUAUAAGUUACUGCGUAGGAAAGCCGUGUCAUUCGGAAGAGGACGUCUGCUAAGAAUGGCAAAAGUUCUUAGUUUCACUUUUUUAGCCGUUCUGGCUACCUUUGCUGUCCUUUUGUCCACUACAGGAACACAGGUCCCUCAUUUUCUUGCGCACUUCCCAUUCCUGAGCCAAAUCCUGGACAGCGGCAAGGGCCUAGGGCUGGUCAAGGACGAGGGCCCCAACGAGGCCCCGGUGGGGACGGGGGAAACCAGUUGGGCCAGCAUGCUGAUCAGGGCAUCGUCCACAAGGCCUGGAUGAUAACUUAGGCAAAGGGUAGUGAGAAUGGAAAUGUAAAAAUACGGCUCUCAACAGUAUCUAAACGGACACAAAGCACUGAAGAAAUAAAUUAACUUUGUAUAUCAAUGGAAGCAUACAUACCGCCAUAGCUGCACUGCGUGAUUAAAAGCAUCUUGCGUUAA